UGGGGAAUAUUGCACAAUGGGCGAAAGCCUGAUGCAGCAACGCCGCGUGAGUGAUGAAGGCCCUCGGGUUGUAAAGCUCUGUCUUUUGGGACGAUAAUGACGGUACCAAAGGAGGAAGCCACGGCUAACUACGUGCCAGCAGCCGCGGUAAUACGUAGGUGGCAAGCGUUGUCCGGAUUUACUGGGCGUAAAGGAUGCGUAGGCGGAUUUUUAAGUGAGAUGUGAAAACCCUAAGCUUAACUUGGGGACUGCAUUUCAUACUGGAAAUCUAGAGUGCGGGAGAGGAGAAUGGAAUUCCUAGUGUAGCGGUGAAAUGCGUAGAGAUUAGGAAGAACACCAGUGGCGAAGGCGAUUCUCUGGACCGUAACUGACGCUGAGGCAUGAAAGCGUGGGUAGCAAACAGGAUUAGAUACCCUGGUAGUCCACGCCGUAAACGAUGAGUACUAGGUGUAGGAGGUAUCGACCCCUUCUGUGCCGCAGUUAACACAAUAAGUACUCCGCCUGGGAAGUACGAUCGCAAGAUUAAAACUCAAAGGAAUUGACGGGGUCAUAGCUGUUUCCU
rnacentral:rRNA from 1 species